GAUGAACGCUGGCGGCGUGCCUAAUACAUGCAAGUCGAGCGAACGGACGAGAAGCUUGCUUCUCUGAUGUUAGCGGCGGACGGGUGAGUAACACGUGGAUAACCUACCUAUAAGACUGGGAUAACUUCGGGAAACCGGAGCUAAUACCGGAUAAUAUUUUGAACCGCAUGGUUCAAUAGUGAAAGACGGUCUUGCUGUCACUUAUAGAUGGAUCCGCGCUGCAUUAGCUAGUUGGUAAGGUAACGGCUUACCAAGGCAACGAUGCGUAGCCGACCUGAGAGGGUGAUCGGCCACACUGGAACUGAGACACGGUCCAGACUCCUACGGGAGGCAGCAGUAGGGAAUCUUCCGCAAUGGGCGAAAGCCUGACGGAGCAACGCCGCGUGAGUGAUCAAGGUCUUCGGAUCGUAAAGCGCUGUUAUUAGGGAAGAACAUAUGUGUAAGUAACUGUGCACAUCUUGACGGUACCUAAUCAGAAAGCCACGGCUAACUACGUG
rnacentral:rRNA from 1 species